UGCAGAAANNANCNCCNGNNUAANNNCGUNCCAGCAGCCCGNNNNUUAUNCAGAGNGGUGCGAGNCNNNNAUCNGNAUUUNNUGGNGCGUAAAAGCGCAUGCAGGUGNUUGUUUAAGUUCAGAUGUAAAAGCCCGGGGGCUCAACCUUCGGAAUUGCAUUUGAAACUGGCAAACUAGGAGUACUGUAGAGGGGGGGUAGAAUUUCAGGUGUAGCGGUGAAAUGCGUAGAGAUCUGAAGGAAUACCGGUGGCGAAGGCGGCCCCCUGGACAGAUACUGACACUCAGAUGCGAAAGCGUGGGGAGCNAACAGGAUUAGAUACCCUGGUAGUCCACGCCGUAAACGAUGUCUACUUGGAGGUUGUGGCCUUGAGCCGUGGCUUUCGGAGCUAACGCGUUAAGUAGACCGCCUGGGGAGUACGGUCGCAAGAUUAAAACUCAAAUGAAUUGACGGGGGCCCGCACAAGCGGUGGAGCAUGUGGUUUAAUUCGAUGCAACGCGAAGAACCUUACCUACUCUUGACAUCUACAGAAGCCAGCGGAGACGCAGGCGUGCCUUCGGGAACUGUAAGACAGGUGCUGCAUGGCUGUCGUCAGCUCGUGUUGUGAAAUGUUGGGUUAAGUCCCGCAACGAGCGCAACCCUUAUCCUUGUUUGCCAGCACUUCGGGUGGGAACUCCAGGGAGACUGCCGGUGAUAAACCGGAGGAAGCCANNGACGACGUCAAGUCAUCAUGGCCCUUACGAGUAGGGCUACACACGUGCUACAAUGGCGCAUACAGAGGGCGGCCAACUUGCGAAAGUGAGCGAAUCCCAAAAAGUGCGUCGUAGUCCGGAUUGGAGUCUGCAACUCGACUCCAUGAAGUCGGAAUCGCUAGUAAUCGUGGAUCAGAAUGCCACGGUGAAUACGUUCCCGGGCCUUGUACACACCGCCCGUCACACCAUGGGAGUGGGCUGCAAAAGAAGUGGGUAGUUUAACCUUCGGGAGGACGCUCACCACUUUGUGGUUCAUGACUGGGGUGAAGUCGUAACAAGGUAACCG
rnacentral:rRNA from 1 species